rnacentral:rRNA from 1 species
AUUUGCACAAUGGGCGAAAGCCUGNUGCAGCAACGCCGCGUGAGGGACGAAGGCUUUCUGAGUUGUAAACCUCUUUCAGCAGGGACGAUUGUGACGGUACCUGCAGAAGAAGCCCCGGCCAACUACGUGCCAGCAGCCGCGGUAAUACGUAGGGGGCAAGCGUUGUCCGGAUUUAUUGGGCGUAAAGAGCUCGUAGGCGGCUUGGCAAGUCGGAUGUGAAACCUCCAGGCUCAACCUGGAGUCGCCAUUCGAUACUGCCAUGGCUAGAGUUUGGUAGGGGACCACGGAAUUCCUGGUGUAGCGGUGAAAUGCGCAGAUAUCAGGAGGAACACCAGCGGCGAAGGCGGUGGUCUGGGCCAAUACUGACGCUGAGGAGCGAAAGCGUGGGGAGCGAACAGGAUUAGAUACCCUGGUAGUCCACGCCGUAAACGCUGGGCACUAGGUGUGGGGACCUAUCGACGGUUUCUGUGCCGCAGCUAACGCAUUAAGUGCCCCGCCUGGGGAGUACGGCCGCAAGGCUAAAACUCAAAGGAAUUGACGGA